GCGCGCUCCAGUGCGCGGGAGUGGCCUGCACCAGGCUCACGCCCUGGUCCUCGAUCAGCGCGGCGAGCCGCGCCGGGUCCAGCCCGGCGUCGCGCG
rnacentral:tRNA from 1 species